CACGGACUGGGUGUGAGUGAGAUCAAGACCUGAGCCGAAAUCAAGAGUCGGAUGCUUAACUGACUGAGGCACCCAGACGCCCUCGGGGGCUUUUCUAAACUGCUUUCUUGUCCUUCAUUGCACAAGAUGCUUCAAGAAUAGCCUUGGGAAAUGGGCAGGACAGCAGCACGAUCUCCUUUACAGCCUUGAGUACCUUUACCAGAAGCGUGCCCACAUCCUGCUAAAUCUGCACAAGCCUGCCUCCUGGCCGCAGGGGCCCAGCAAGCCUUUGGCCAUUUGUCCCCUCUAGCCCCUGGGUCGUGAGGCUCCAGCACCUCGAAGGCCAUCCUCAACCACCCUCCUACUGCCCAUCACUCAGCCAUUGGCUCCCCGCCCUCUGUCCACAUUCCCUCUUGAGCCCCACCUAAGUGCCCAGCGUGAUAACCAGAAUGGAAGGCUCAAAGCUUCAAAAUAGCCCGGGCUUGUUAUCAGCAACUUUCCCUUCCAACUUUAUCACUGAGAAGCAGAA